rnacentral:rRNA from 1 species
CAAGUCGAGGGUUUGAUUUAUCAAGCACUGGCAUCCGGGUGAGUAACGCGUAGGUCAUCUGCCCCUAUCACAGACAUAACAGUUCUAACGGACUGCUAAUAUCUGAUGAGGCGAGCAAUCGUCAAAGCUUUGGCGGAUAGGGAUGAGCCUGCGUCUGAUUAGGUAGUUGGUGAGGUAAUGGCUCACCAAGCCUUCGAUCAGUAGCUGGUCUGAGAGGACGAACAGCCACACUGGAACUGAGACACGGUCCAGACUCCUACGGGAGGCAGCAGUGAGGAAUAUUGGUCAAUGGGCGCAAGCCUGAACCAGCGACGCCGCGUGCGGGAUGGAGGGGCUUUGCCUCGUAAACCGCUGUCGGAUGGGACGAAAGGUGGCUUUGAGCCACUGGGACGGUACCAUCAAAGGAAGGAUCGGCUAACUACGUGCCAGCAGCCGCGGUAAUACGUAGGAUCCGAGCGUUGUCCGGAGUUACUGGGUGUAAAGGGUGCGUAGGCUGUUCUGUGCGUCAGAGGUGAAAUCCACGGGCUUAACUCGUGGGGUGCCUUUGAUACGGCAGGGCUUGAGUACGAGAGAGGUGCGUGGAAUUCCUGGUGUAGCAGUGAAAUGCGUAGAUAUCAGGAGGAACACCGGUGGCGAAGGCGGCGCACUGGCUCGUAACUGACGCUGAGGCACGAAAGCGUGGGGAUCAAACAGGAUUAGAUACCCUGGUAGUCCACGCCUUAAACGAUGCAUGCUUGGUGUUGGUCUCGCAAGAGAUCAGUGCCGUAGUUAACAUGAUAAGCAUGCCACCUGGGGAGUACGAUCGCAAGGUUGAAACUCAAAGGAAUUGACGG